rnacentral:lncRNA from 1 species
CUUGUCUGAAAAAAGAAAAAAGGACAAAUUGCUGAGGUUUGGGAGCACACCCUCCAGAGGACCCCUGAUCUCCCAAAAUUUGGUUGAGAUCUAAAGUUUAUUUUGCUGUACAACUCCCCCCAACACCUUUUUUUUUUUUUUUUUUUUGUUUUACUUGCUUCCAACAAGGAAUGCAAGAUUUCUUGCUGAUGUUGGAAGGCAGGCUCCUUUAUGGAGUUUGAGCUCGCUCCCAGCAGGGAAGACGAGUUCAAGUGUUUCCUGCUUCAAGGAUGGUAGAGAGCAGUCUUCAGCCUGAGACUCAUCCCUAGGUAAGUAGCUGAAUUGUCUUGGCUAAAGUUUAACAACCAGCUGGUCUUAAUUUCUCCUUACCAUUAGAGCACUCAGUGACCAAGUCUACCUGACUUCCUCAAAUCCAAGAGGGACUUCCAAAGCCUCUCUAAUUUGGCUAAAAUUCCUUGCAGCUACAAAAGAGGAAAAAAAAACAACCCAUGUGUUUGGUUUCUGUGUUUGCUUCCUCCUUAAAAAAUGAAAUGUUCUUUCAUUUACUUUUCUUCCGCCCUGUACCUCCUUCCCUCUUUGCCACCUGUAGUAUCAGAAAAUCUAGAGAAGGCUUCUAAUAACUUGAACCCCUUUAAAGAAUUCAGAACAAAGUCAUCACUCAUCCCUUUUGGGGUGUUCUGUUUUCCUUGUGGUGUUUCAAGAGUCCUGGGCAGAUUCUUCUUAGGUCUAAAGCUCUGUUUUCCUGUAUUACAUGAGCUGACCUCUUUGGCUUUGCAGGUAACCAGAGAUGACCUUGUACUGUGAGAGGAUUUGACCCUGGCAUGUGAAAUGGCAGAUGAGAGCUAGAAAGAGUCAAGGAAACAUUUCUUUUGAGCUAUUGUCAACUUUUAACAAGGAAGUAUACUCCUAUGAACAAAAUUUGGAGCAUAUUUGUUUCUUUCUACCUGAUUUCUCCAGAAUUUGGGAACUAUUUGUGAGUAUUCUUAACUUUUGGCAAUAUGG